CCGUAGAGGCAUUACAGUUGAGGCUGCUGUAUCACAUAUGCCCCAGUAGGAGAGAGGCUAUGUCUAUGCUCGUUGUUCUGACCUGUAAACAACUAAAUGAUUUUAGCUUACCAUU
rnacentral:snoRNA from 1 species